rnacentral:piRNA from 1 species
UUGUCUUGUCCACAGUUUAAAUGGAAUCCC